AACUACCGUGGCAGGGAAUGGCCGCGGGAUGACGUGAAUCCCGGAAUAAGCCCCGGCUAACUACGUGCCAGCAGCCGCGGUAACACGUAGGGGGCGAGCGUUGUUCGGAAUCAUUGGGCGUAAAGGGCGUGCAGGCGGUCCUGCAAGUCCGGCGUGAAAGACCCCGGCCCAACCGGGGGGGCGCGCUGGAAACUGCAGGGCUUGAGUACAGGAGGGGAUGCCGGAAUUCCAGGUGUAGGGGUGAAAUCUGUAGAUAUCUGGAGGAACACCAAUGGCGAAGGCAGGCAUCUGGCCAUGUACUGACGCUGAGACGCGAAGGUGCGGGGAGCAAACAGGUUUAGAUACCCUGGUAGUCCGCACAGUAAACGAUGUGCACCAGGUGGCGGGGGGUCGACCCCCGGUACCGUAGCCAACGCAUUAAGUGCACCGCCUGGGGAGUAUGCUCGCAAGGGUGAAACUCAAAUGAAUUGACGG
rnacentral:rRNA from 1 species